rnacentral:tRNA from 1 species
GGGCCCGUGUGGUAAUCUGGAUAGCCGACGAGGCUUCGAACCUUGGGGUGAGGGUUCAAAUCCCUUCGGGCCCG